UUUGUUAACUUGAUUUAGGCGAUCUGUGAUGCAGACUACAAGAUAACAAGUUUCACAGCGAACUGGCCGGGAAGAACACACGACGCAAGGAUAUGGAGGAAUUGUGAACUCCGGAACCAGUUUGAAAACGGACAACAUGCUGGCCUACUCAUCGGAGACAGCGGGUAUGGUUGUUCUCGCUAUUUGCUGACACCCUAUUUACGACCAGUGAACCAGUCCGAAGACAGAUUCAACAGGUCACUCUGUAGAACAAGAGUGAUGAUUGAACAGACAUUCGGGAUGUUAAAGAACCGAUUCGGAAUAUUGGGACGCAAGAUCCGCGCAACACCAACAAGGGCUGUACAGCACAUUAGUGCAUGCAUCGUUCUGCACAAUAUUGGAAUUGCGCGCAACGACUCAGUCGAGAUCCCUGAAAUUGAUGCCUAUGAAGCAGCACAACCUGUAGCCAAUCCGCCUGACAAUGUGGAUGGACGCGCUAUGCGGCAUUUCAUUACUGAAACAUAUUUCAGUAGAAUGUAAGAAAGGAAAGAAACUGAAGAUGAACUAAAUAUGCUUAUU